GACAGAGGGGCAAGCGUUGCUCGGAAUCACUGGGCGUAAAGGGCGCGUAGGCGGGAUGGCAAGUCGGUCGUGAAAUCCUUCGGCCCAACCGAAGAACGUCGGCCGAUACUGCCGUUCUUGAGGGAUGCAGAGGAGACUGGAAUUCCCGGUGUAGCGGUGAAAUGUGUAGAGAUCGGGAGGAACACCGGUGGCGAAGGCGGGUCUCUGGACAGUUCCUGACACUGAGGCACGAAGGCCAGGGAGCAAACGGG
rnacentral:rRNA from 1 species